AGGAGAAACCUUCUCGCCCUAAAAGCCACGAGAGCCUUGUCAAUGAGAUUGAACAAGCCGUGCAAGAGACUGUGGAUGCAGAUGUGUAUGUGAGAAGGAGGCAGGCCCAGCCCGCGUCCAGAAGCCAUCGGGAGGUUCAGCGGCCUGAAUUAUCUGAAAAAUUCUAAGCAAGGUGUACGUUUCAGGUGCCAGUGGACAUUGUGGCUGCUUCAAGCGUGUUGUACCUUUUGCUGAAGAGAUGAGGUUCCCACGGAGGGGAAGACCGCAUGGUGUCUCCACUGUGGCUGUGGGAGUUGGAGUGAAGGCAAACGACAUCCUCUAUGAAACUUGGACAGCCACGUUCAUUGCUUCUUGCACCCAUUUCCCCUCUGUAUUUUCACAGCUGCGGUUUUAAACCCACUUCCAUCUUCGUUGACAUCUUUGGCUUCUCUGCGGCCUCUCUAUGCUUAGAACUUUCUGCUGUGUCUGUCUGCUUGUUGCAAAAUUCCUGGAGAGGGGAAAGCAGUCCUUAGAGAAGUCUCCGACUCACAAAACAUCUGUCCUCCUGCCGAGUUUCCUGUUCUCUGUUCAGAGUGAUAAGCCCCCCCCCCAUUGUAAGGCUCUGUUUUGAUCUGCGAGGUGGGGGGUGUCUCUCUUAACUGCUGUCCCCCACUCCAAGCAACUGCUUGAAAUCCUAUCAGUCUCGUUUCCUUCUUCCACUGUAGCAAGCAACAAACUUUGCUCUUUGUAUGCAUCGCGCUGGCCCCUUUUGAGCAGCAAGCGGCAAGGGAGGCCUCAGCUGCUGGGGUUCUGUUUCAGUGCCUCCCUGCUUUCAUUAAACCUGGAGCAGUUCUGCGGAGCUGGCUUCUAGGAAGUUAAGUUCUAUCUACUUCACCACCACCCCCUUUUUUUUCCUGGGCUCUCCCUUACUCCAAACAGGAAGGGUGGAUUUCAAGGCGGGCCUGACCUAUCUACUUAAAGUGAGGGCCCAGUCUUUGGAGACAGUAUGUUGGGGUCUCAUUUAAACUUCUGUGUGUGUUAGGUUGAGAGGAUUUAAUUUUUCAUGUGUGUGAGGUUGACAGAAAGCAACAGAAAUAUUUAGAGCAUUGCAUUGCCAGGUUUUUUUUUUAAAGCUUUAUUUUAAUCCAGUGUUAAUCUCCACAACACCAUUCAAUAGAGUUAUUGCCUCUGCAUGUAUUCCUAGUUCCAGGGCUCUUUUUGUCGAAAAAGCCCAGCAGGAACUCAUUAGCCUCAUAGGCCACACCCAA